UAAAAACAAACUAUUUAAAUGUUCAUCUUAUGGAGUUUCAAAAAGCAAAAAUUAAAAUAAUAGGCAAAACUCACCUGACUAUAGAAAUAUCAUUCAGGUUCACCUAAAUAUACUUGUGCGUACAAAAGAAUAAUUGAGGAAUAAAUGACGGUAUAUUUUUGAGAUAGGACACAGUUUAAGCUUGUAGUUGAGCACUGGUUCCUGUAAACCACACGAGCUGUCCUGUAUUUCAUCUUCAUAGACCCCUUCAUAGAAUCACUGCACUCAAAGAGUCCCAAACCAUAUCUGUGUUAGGAAUUAUUUAAGACGAGGUCCUCUGGAAAACAUUUAUUCCACCAAAAGGAAUGUCUGAGAACUAGUGGUGUAAUAAAAAUAAAAAAUAAAUCUUAAGCUAAAACUCUGAUUCAAAAGUCAGCCAAUUCAUGAAGUUUAUAUCUAGCUAUGCAUUUUCUCUCAAUGAAAUUGAAUUGCUGAAAUCUAAACUUUCUGCUCCAAGUCUGCAAGCAAAUAUCUUUCUAUCAACUCUAUUAAACGUCACCAUGCAGGGGCUAUAAUGUCAUAAAAGCAGUAUCUGCUUUUUUUAAGAUGAAAAAAGAAUAAUGAUUGACUAUAGCACUAAUGCUAUAAUAGGCUAUAGUGGUGCAUUCUUCUUCAAAGUUUACCAUCGUCUCUCUUCAUUUACAUUAGCAGGAAGUUCUACUGACCUAUAAAUGAAUGUAGGUAAUGUACUACAGCUACUCACACCGAGGCCCAGCUCAGAAUCAGCACAGCCCUACACAAAUGCACAACUUGGGAGAAAACACAAAAUAAAUGGGGGUCAAAUAAAUAAAUAAAUAUUUGAAACUACACUGAUUUGUUUAAAAGUGCAUUCCACCAGGCUUGGAAAUGUCACUUUAUCAGCAUACUCCUCUGCUCCC